GCAGAGGCACCGUUUAGCUCUGGGAAAUCAAUGGGACUCACUGUGUUAUCAGUGUUAUCAGCAAGAUAAAAGUACCAGAAUGAAAGAAUACAGUUGUUUGGUAGAGCUGGCUGAUAAUUUUCCAUCCUAAUGCUUUCCUACUGAAAACUGAGGUUUUGAUCAAAGGAUUUGCUUUCCUCCACAAAAUUUGUUUUGCAGCACGUGAUGUUGGACUGUCUCGCAAAUGGUAACUCCCACGUUUAAGGAGAAUGCUCUUAAUGAACUGCCUUUAAAAAGAAAAAACACAUACAGAGGAGAUGGAAAGUCUCCCUGGAGAGUCUCAGGAGAUGCCCAGAAGACAUCUCCAGGGUCACGUAAUUCUUUGAAUCCUACCCAACUUUUGCUGAAGUUAAUUGAAAAAACUCCCAUUGACUUGAAGAGGUUUUGGAUCUGGCUCAAAGUGCUCUCCGUGGCAGCAGAUUGCAAGAAGGAACCCCACUGUGCAAUUCCAGCCAUCUGCCUAUGGAUAAGGCUUGAUGAUACAAAUGUGUUUGCUUGGAACAUGCAGUAAGGCACUUCGCUUCCAAUUAGGCAGUGCUUCAGACCGAAGGAGAUCUCUGCCUCUCACCUGUGGCCUCUCUUAUCUAAGAUCUACUCUGACCUGGUGAUCUUUAAAGUAGCAAUAUAAGCUGAUGCACAGCAAUAUCACAAGUUGCUUAUCUCUGCUUUGCUUAUGUAAAAAGGUAACCUAGUGCUAGGUUAAGCUCACGUUGAGAUUCCUGCAACUCAGCUGGUUGGGUGUAGUGCUGUUUGCUUGAGACAGGACAAAAUGUCCCUGCUUACAUCUCAAACCUGAGCUUAGUGAUAUCAUUGUCAUUAUCAAUCUUUUACUGUAUCAACCGUGGGAUUAGAAAAGGGAACUGUUUCAGAAACAAAGCAAAGGAUGACUCAGUGCAGUAUAUAAGGCUGCUCGUAAUUAGCACACACAGCUGUGUGUUGCCCUUUUCAUCUAAAAAUGGUAAAGAAGGGGAGUGAUGUGUGUAGAAGGCUUAUUUGAAGGAUGGUUGUCUUCAGCAGUAUAGCAGCAUAGCAGAGAAUCAAAUGAGGUUUGAUGUAAAACACGGCCAGAGACGGUGUAAAUUGCCUCAGCUGAUUAGGAAACAGCAAAGCAGUUAGCAUCCUGGAACAUGAUGUGUUUAUUGCAUGACUGUGGGAAUUUGGAGGAGAGAAACUGAGCAGCCUUAUCGUGUGCCAGGCCUCAGCGGUGUCCUCUGCCAGCUUUAAUCAUCAAUUACUGUAAUGCUGGGGCAAACCACCACAGCUUAAUUAUUGUCUGGAGUGUGUGGCCAUAGGUAGCUCCUCUGGGCUACGUGCAUAGCUGAGCAGAUCAGCUGGUGAGCGGGGUAGCAGGGGACUGUACCUUAGGCUCUGUCUCGGGGACCCAAGCAAUCUUUGCGCCUGUGCUGGAGGCAUCUCAAGGGCUUCCUCUGUCAGACUCCACGCAGAUCAGAGAGAGACAUUCCCUAACUAGGGAGCCCACAGCACAUGGAUAAAAUGACAGGCAGCGAUGUACUUCAUAGGCUUGAGGCAGCUGUGAACUGCCUUUGCAGGUGCUUCUGAUUGUGGAAAUCACGCAUUUGCCCAGAAGAGUGAGUCCAGGUGCAGCCUAGGUUUAGAACCACGUUGAAAAUCAGAGGAGGUACCUGCAAUUGGGUUUCGCCUCAGACCAUAGAAGCUGCUGAGAUUCUUCUGAUUGCUUUCAGUGGGGUUUGAUCAAGCCUUGAUCUCUUCUGCAGGCAGCAUCUGCCACCAGACAGGAUAGUGUCCUGCUAAUCUCCUGUCUGUGCUGGGCUGGACUGUGCACUUGAUAGUGAAUUUCCAAUAUGGGUAAUAUAGGCCUUUUGUUGCUUGUGUUUUUUUGUUUUUGUUCAUCAGAAAUGUAUUCAACAUACAUAGUUUUGACCGACACUUCAAAAGAUGUGUAUAAGUAAAAAGAAACGUCUCUGCAGGAGAGAGCCUUUAGCUCAGCUCUGAAAAUCGGUUGUGAUCAUGAAUCAGCAGUAUGAUACUUGUGGUUUAUCUCUGCUCUGCAGUUGCCCCACAGUUCAGGGCCUGUUGGUCAUAGGUGGGUGUCAUUUAAGGAAAUUGAUUUCUAGAAGAUGUAAAGUGCAAUAUGCUGACAUGGAGUGAGACACUAGGUUUUGCUCUGUUGGUGACUUAUGCUCUGGACAGGAACAGCGUGCUGCCAGCAUGCUCCUUGCCCACUCUUGCAGGGGGUCCAUUAGCUUACAAAGUGCCAUCUGAUUUUUACUGAAUGUUCUUAUAAAACAUGACAUGCUGGGGCACAGGGUAUCGACAUGCCUUGGCAAGGUGAGCCCCCCUGGCAGGAUGGUAUUGAUAUUGCCCUGAGGAAAUGGAGCAGUGCUGAGAGGGGUUUGGCCACUGUCGGAAAGAGCUGAGUUCAUUACCCAAGUGAGCCAAGCAGGACUGGCCAAGGGGGCUUGUACAUGCAUCGAGGUGGUGCUAGCUGGCAGGUACAGGCUUAAUUUGGGUCAGACAAGACCAUACUGCCCCAAUAGGGUGCUAUUCCUUGAUGUAUGUAGCAGACGGAGACAUGCACGUCCUGAAAUCUCGUGGUACUCCCUGUGUGUGGUAUACAGACGGUUGUUUUGUAGAGGCCUUUAAUGAGCUGUGGAAAACUAAGAGUUAAAAACAGGCCAGCAAGCAUAAGUUAUUAAAAUUCCCUUAAUGAUAAUGGAUUGGAGGAGCUUGCCCAUUGUACUAAAAUGCCCAGUUAAUUUGAGAGCCAAACAGAUGGGAAGUUUUGAGAAGGUAGGAGAGAAAAGGAGAUGACAGAAGCCGCAGUCACACACACAAGAUCUGCUCUGAAAUAACAGCUAUAUAUGGAAAUGAUUUGCAGGAUAUUGCCCAUAUGCUUCCCAAACCUGAGUCCCCACUGCAGUGCUGUCGAUUACAUCAACAAAUGUUGUCGCAUCUUUUGCAGCGCUGUAGCUGAGGGAGGUUUUGGUGCAAACUGUGAUGCUGGGCACACAGUGGGAUUAAUUGCAAUACUAAAAGUUGAUGACCUUUUGCAAAGCUGUGCAGGAGCACCAAGCCACCAGCAGUUGCAGAGCUCUGCAUGAGCAGGCUGCAGUAACAGGGUGCUGGAUGGCUCGUAGCAGCCUGGCUGGGGCCGGGAGCUGGCUGAGGUUUCCUCUGAGCAAAGCAGCAUGCACUCCCGCUCCUGUUAGUGGCAGAAGAGUAAGCCUGAAUAUUCAGGGCCCUGCCAGUUUGUGGCACUCUAAGGACUUGUUUGGCUGUUCUGGCCUCCUUACAAAGGAGAUAGGACCUCCUCUUCCUUCCCCACUCUCCAGCUGUGGUGUUGUGUGGACCCCCUCAAACAGUUCAGCUUUAGAAAAACACAUUAAAACAGCUUUGGAAGGAACAUGUUUUUUCACAUGGGGGAAAAGUGAGGAUACAAUAGACCUAUCUUCCACCCCCUGCUCGGCUGAAAAACAUGGACACAUCUUCAUUCCUCUGUGUCUCAUCUGUAAACGGAGUGGGGAUAAUGUCAUUCACUUCACUACUCUAUGCGACUGGAUGAUAAAAUUGCAAAUAAAAUUCACUGCAGGAAAAAAAGAAUUGGUGCAUAUGGGAGAAGGAGCAGUCCUAACUCUACACACUCAGCAGUGGGUUGCAGCCUACCUGUUACCCGUUCAAGAGGAAGAUGUUGGGAUUAAAACACAUAGUUCUGCAACAACAUUGGCUCAGUGAUCAGCAGCAGUCAUAAAAGUAGGCCUAAUAUUAGGAAUGAUUAUCAAGGGAUAGAAAAGGAUAGAGGUCAUUAUUACACCACUAUAUAAAUCCGUGAUUCCCGCAUCUUCAGUACUGUGUAUUUCUGGCAGCCUUACCUUUUAAAAAUAUUAUUGUAAAACUGGAGAAGAUCCAAAGGAGGUACCAAGGACAAUCAAAAUACAGAACAGCUUCAGCACAAGGAAUGAUCAAGUAGCUUAGGACUUUCCAGGCUGGAAAAGCAAUGGCUUUAGGGCUGCAAAGGGCACUGGAGGGCUGUGAAAUGAGGAGCUCAUGGUAGAGAAGAUGGUAGAGAACAGUCGUUCAGUGUUUCUUCCAGUGCUACAACUACUGGAGGACAGCAAAGAAACCAGCAUGUGCAGGCUUGAAGCAGUUCACAGAAGUGGUUCUUCACGUAUCAUAUGUUCAGCUGUGGAAAGGCUUACUGCAGGAUGCUCUAGCUGAUGAAAGUUUACAAGCAUUCAAAAACAACUGGAAAAACUCAUGAGAGAGAAAUGGAAAGUGACUAUUAAAACAACAUCUCUGUGUCUGGGGUCUCCUGGGCUUCAUGUGCUUGUGCAGGGAGGGAGUUUUAUGAAACUCUGUAGCUUUUAGUUUAAUUUCAUUCGAACCCUUUCUUUUAUCCUUACUGCGUUCUGUGAGAGAGCUUACUACUUCUCCCUGUCAGUGUUGUAGAGAGACAGCCAAAGUGGUCUCUUCCCUCUGGGUGGGUUUGUGUGAAGACUGUCCCACAGAGAGUGACCAUGACCUUAUGUUUGCAGGGUGGACACCAAUUUCUUUAUAGCAUGAAGGACUUUUGUUCCUGAAUCCUUGUACAACAGUUCAUACAGUGUAAAUGAGAGAUUGAUCUUUUUUAAAGGAGUGUUUUUUCCUAUGGUUCUGGGGUCUUUGAAAGGAGAGUAGGGAAGAAAAAUGUGAGAGAUCACAAAACACUUAUUACUCACAGUGUGAGUCAGCAGGAAGCAGAAAGGUAGGAAAGGAAAGGGGGCAAGAGGGGGAGAUGGAGAAGAGGCCUUAUGUCUUCCAGAGAGGCCAGAAUUGCUCACUCGUUUAUUGAUCUUAUUAAAAUCUGAAAAGGCAAACUGUAAAGUUGGAAGUACCAAAUGCCCAAACACUCCUUACAGGCAAGGCUGUCCAGUCCCCACUGCCUUGUGUGAGGCACUGAAUGGAGGCUCUUUCCAAACAAGGUAGUUUUCCCCUCUGUUAAAUCCAGAGGUUUACCUAGCUAGGAUGAGAACCAAAUGGAUUAUGACUUUAUUUCCUCUUCCCUCUCAGAUGAGUUCUGUCCAAUACUUCAUAGUCACAGCAUGAUACAGCUAUGUUUCUGGUUGCUUUUUAGUGUAGUCUGGUAAAUAAAGGCCUGGGCUUGGACUCAGGAGACCUGAUUUAUGCACUGGGUUCUGCUGCCAAGAGCCAGGAGGUCAGUCAGUUCCUCAUGACUGUCUCAGCUUCUCCAAUGUUAAACAGAAAAGAAAAUAAAAUGCAGAUGGUUUAGAAAGUCUUUGAGAUCUGUGGGAGAAGUGCUAGAUAAUCACUGAGCUAGCUCCCUUCGUGACUGCGUGCCGCUGUUCUAGGGCCUAGCCGGAGUGCUCCUGUGGUCUGCCAGGAGCUGCUGAAGGUGUUAGUACCACUGUCUGCUCCUUAUUUUUAACUUCUCUACAAGCAUUCAAAAGACCUGUAUUGUAUAGUUGAUUUAGGAGAACUGACUCAUUACAUGCCUGCAGUCUAGGCUCAAAGUAAGUGCUUAUGACAGGCAGAUGGGAUCCCUUCUGUAGCCCCCUGGGUGUUUUCUCAAUAAAAAAUUUUGGAAGACUGUCUCGCUCACAGUCAUCUACUGGAACCAGAGGUUAAAGAGAAGUUGAAGUUUAGUGAUGAGAGCAGAAGACCAGAUUCCAACUGUUUUCCUGAAGAUACCAGGGUCCAGUUAAUGUUUGGCCCCAGGAGAAGGCUUGUGUGGGCUGUCCCUCUUCAUGGGCAUACGUGUUACUUGUUGAAGUCCAACGUGCUCAGGGAAUUAUUAUUGCAUCUGUGGUAUUCAUUCUCUUUCCAGGCUCCAAACAUUGGUGUAUCUGUGUUCUUAAAAUUUUUUCAUACAAUUAUCCUUGUACCUUCCUGUGUUAUAGCUCCUAUUAUUUAGAGGGGAGCUGAGACAAAGAGGCUAAGCAGCUUAGUAUUAUUCCGUGCAACGUGCAGCUUUCAGACGUAUCCAUCUGAAGCUGCGUACAGACAAACACCCACCAAGCUGGCUCUGUCCUCCCCUGCAAGAGAAAGAAAUCCCCACUGCGAAGCGAUGAGAAGAGAGGCUUGCAAAGAGAUGGGCUGAGUAAAAUGCAGUGGGAUGCGGGAGCCCGCUCAUUGCUGCUCAUUAGCACAGCAAUGUGCACGGCACAUCACAGCACACAGAGGCACCUGUGUCAGCUAGUGCCCCUCCAGGCUCCCAUACAGGCAAGCUGGGAGCACACAAAAGCAAGGGAUUUGCCUUUAUUGUCCUAAUACUGUUUUCACCAGCUUUUUAACUUACGCACUCACUCCAAAUCUACUGACAGCUGCUUUCAAAGAUAAUAUUUUAAAAGUAAGCCCAAAUUGCUUUGUGCAGGAAGAUUUGGGGGCUACAUUUUUCAAGUCAGACUUGUAAAAAUCCAAAGCUGAAAAGUAUUUGUUUCCAAGCUAUCUGACUUACUGUAAAAAAACCCCCAAACCCUAGUCUCUCUCUUUUCUUCCAAAAGAAAUAAACAUUUAGUUCAAGCUACUAUUUUAUUUUUUUCUGAGAUUCAGCAGCAAUUUAUUCAGUUAUGGAAACUAUAAAGCUGCUGUUAUUUACAGAAAAGGAAAACAAAUGUUUGUAGUAGAAUAGCAGAUUUUUGUGCUCUGAAAUGUGUCCAGUAAACACUGUUAAAGCAUUGAUGCACCAAAGCGAGAAGUGAAUACAAGCUUACAGAUGGUAUGGAGUAGCUGUUAAAAAGCUUCUAAAGGAUAUUGCACAGCAUACAUUUGAUCUUCAUAAAUGCACAAAUAAAAAUGAAAUAAGAAAAUCUACAUUUUUCUACUACAUUAUUAUGGACCUUUAUCAGAAAAACAUCAGCCCAUGUGUGUUUAUCACAGAUUCCAACUUCUAAUGACUGCCUUGGUAAAAAGGACUGAGCGAUACCAUUCUUUAAAACAGUUUUCAUCUUUCCAGUGAAAUCCAUAGGGACCUUCCCUUUGCAAGACAGAUAAGCCAGUAAUUAGUUUACUAGAACCUAAGUAAGCAGUGUAUCAUGAGCCAGUGAAGUGGGAGAAUCACAGGCUAAAAUGAACUGCACUGUAGUUCUCUUAAAAUCAAUAGGAUUGACCCUCAGCAGUAGAUGUCUCCCUGCAUUGCAUGCUUUUAAAAAUGGGAUUUUUUUACCUAAACUUACUUUUUUGUUCAGCAGGACAAAUGCAGGUUUUUCAACACUUGUAUUUGUAACUGUUAGCUUACAAAUAGGCUCUAUGGUGCCAUUUUCAUGUUGUCCCAUUUCUAGGUGGCAUCAAGGCUUCUGCAAUACACCCAAGUGUAAAUGCAAUUCAUUUAGGUUAGCAUUGAAGGUUAGUUGAGGCUAGUGAAACGUAGCUUAGGUGGGAGCAUGCGAAUAAGAAUAUUACUGAGUUGAAAAAGGCUGUCAGUGGCCUUCGUGAGUGCUGGCAUAGCAAGGCUCAGGGACCAUUAAAUGGGAAUCAAAGCUAAUAGAAUUACAUUAAAUUAAAAGGAAACUGUCAUGAUAUUUUCCUGCCAUAACUCAAAUAUUUUCUCCCUCACUGUUUUUUAUUUUCAUUUUGUCUUUGAAGUGGAAAACUGAAAUCUGUAUUCUCACACCCCUCUCCAAAAUCCCUCCAUGUCACAAAAAUGCAUUUCAUUUUGUUUCAUCUUGGGGCUACUGCCUGGACAGGACCCGAUCCAGUGCCCGCUUAAACUGUGAGUUGUCCUACCCCUUGUUUUGAUUUCUUUUGAAUCAGGCUAGAGACAGAGCAUUUCAAAUUGUUUUUUGCUGCUAAAGCUCAACCAUUAUACAUUCAGCAACCCUGCCGUACUGUUAGCUCUGAGGCUGGGAUCGUUGAUCUAUGGCUGCAGGAUUAGGUUGAUAAAUUAUCCAGAAGAGACCAGUGCUUGAGGAAAAAAGGAAAUCAGGGAUUUGGAGGGUGAGCUGCCCGUUCCAGAAAAGGGAACAGCAAAAAAAGAAAAAAAGAAAGCCUCAAGAAAUAAAUAUUCAAAUGUUUUCCAACUCACUUUGGAUUGAAAGAUGUAUUUUGCCAAAGCCCAUGUUGAAAUGCUAUUUUUUUGAACUAGACAGUUCUAAUGUUUGAAAAGAAAAUUUCAAUGAUAUUUCCAAAUGAAUAUCCAUUUCGAAAGGAAAAACUGAAAUGUGUUGUAACAGAUUAUUAGAUUCAGAACAACCAGUCUGUUUCAAAAUAAGAGCUGGUGACCUUCUUGAUGAUACUGUGAAAUCAGCACUCUUCUGGUUGAAAAAAAGUUGCUUGGCCAGGCUGCAGGCAGAAACACCCGAUUCCUUGCCGCUAUUGAUAGAACCUUUUUAUUUUGUUUGCAGUGUCAUGGCUGUUAAUGAUGCACACACAGAGUGCUCAGCAGGCAUCUCUUUGAUAGAGGAUUUCAGUUACUGGUGCACAGAGUUAGAUUUAGUCACAUGAGGACCCCAAUACCUUACUGAACUGUUAGGUCAAUGCCAGAUUAAUUUAUUAUUAGUUAAUAAUUAACCUUGGGUAAUUUUCUGAUGGAAAGGUUUAGAAUCACAUACUGUUUUAUACAUAUCUUGGGUUGGGGUGUGCAUAACCAUAUUAGCACUUUUUUUCAGUGCCCUGUUGCUUCACAAAAUCCCUAAAAAUGAUAUUCCUGUUAAUGUCUAUAUUUCACUUAGGUAUGAUAUACGGGGAUGCUUGAGGAAUUUGUGGUGUGUGGGAACAGACAGCUUCUGCAAACAAGCAGUUUUUGUGCCUUAAUCUCCAGUUUUGAAAACCAGCCCUGGCAGAUGUCACAGUGAGCAUGAAGAGCACCCUGAGGUGUCUUGUUGUUGCUCAGAUUUCCAAGUUGCUUGGUUUAUUGGCAGGGAGAGGAGACGGUAAACUUUAUGAUAACUUUCCAGUGCGCUAUUAUGAUGUUGAAUGGGAUGCAAGAAAACAAGGGUUACCAAUGAGACUGUAAUGGCAGCACAGGUGGCCAAAGUUGAGGAAUUAAUCUUUAUUGGACUCAUCAGACAUGGGAGCAUCCCCUGAAGAUAAGGCUCAUUUGUAGCUGAGGUUUUUCCUACCAAGGAAACUUAAUGGGUUUAGGCCUAACAUAUGCCUAAACCUUCAACACCGACUUCCCCCUGACUCUUGGCUUUACCCCCACCAGCAGUGACAUUUGGGGAGAAGUCCGUUGCUCACAGAGGCCAGUGGAGCAGUGGUGCUGGGAUUAGUUUCAAUGUGCCCAUUUCCAUACUGGUACUAAACUAGCCCACAUUAAACUGAUUAAGCUUUAACAAAUUACUCUGUGUGCUGGAAGGUUACCAGCUGUAGCUACUUAUUAGUCCCUUUUCAAAUCAUUAACAAGCUAUUUAUGACACCUCCAUGUGCAGGUACAAAGCCUUCCGGAGGAUUCCUCCAAUUUAAUUUCUCUAGCUUAAACCUGAAUGGUGAGAACAAAGGCAGAACAUGCAGUGACUAAUUAAGAGGAUGAAGGAAGGCAGAGGGGAUACUGACAGGAGGUGACGGGAUCCUUGGAAAGAAAAAGCCACAGCCUGACUGUUGGGAGAUAUUAGAGGCAGCUCUUUGAGGCUUGGGCUUGCCGAAGUACAGAACUCUAAUCCAUGAGUAUCUCACUACCUUUUUUUUUAUUAAAAAGUGCUUUGUCCUUAACUAUUUACUUAAUACUGCACAAAAGCAGCUUACAGUUUCACAUCUGAAAUAAUACGCAGUACAAAUUCUGACUUUCUUUGCCAAAGGACUUUGGUAGGACAUGUAGUCCCUUGAUUACCAAGCACUUCACAAGGUGUAUGAGCUGGGAAGCAGGAUUUCAUCCGGUCCCGUGAGCACACUAUAGGAGGCAGAGAUACCAUGUGUGUCAAAGCCUCAGUGAGCCUGGCUGUCCAGGUGCCCCGAGUGUCCUGUCCAAAUCCUCUCCAGGGAGAGGUUGCAUCGGAGCAGAGCUGACAACCAGAGAACUUUGCUUUGUGGGGCAAGGACAGCCUUAUCUUUCAGUGCCCAACUGCUCUCCAGCGUCAAGGGCAGCAAGACUGGAAGAAUUUCUGUGUUUUUUGGCAAAAAGUCUUGCCAGUGUGGUGUCACCUUCUCAUGUGAAAAAGCACAAACAAAAGAACAAAACAGACCCAAAGAAAAGCAAGGCUCAUUGAUCGUUCACUUUGGUGUAAGCCCACUGCCAGUCUUCCUGCUGCCCUUUUGCACUGUCUCUUUUCUGUGUGGCUACUUGGUCUCUUAAUUACCCAUUUUUCCAUCCUCCUUUUCGCUUCUCCUUUACUCCCCUUGUUCUCCUAAAUCUUAAGUCACUGGGCUUUUUGCAGCCACAAUACUCAACCAAAAUAAUUUUCUGAGCUCUUGUCAAGGCGGUGAUUUGCCGCUGUGGUUGCGUUCUUCAGGCAGUCACCAAAGACUUGUUUGCAGCCAUGACACAAAAGCAUUUUACUCUAUUUCACUUUCCCCCUGUUGUCCUUGCUGCCACUGACCCACGUGCCACCACACUCAGGUGAGGGCUGGGAAAGUGUAGAUUGCUAGUGUCGGAAGCAGAGAUCUGUACUGUGUGUUUGUGCCUUCUGUGACAUGACAGUCUCCAUUCUCAGCUGGGCCUACUUCAAGCAUGACUUUAUUGUAGUAAUAGCCAUAGGACUGACUUAGUUCUUGGUAAAUUCUUACAGCACCUCUAAUUGGUUCGUGAUCCUGGGGAGAAAGAAAUCAACAGUACUAAAGCCUGAGCGCUGCUCAAGUGCUGUUUUGUGGCACUCAAGUUCAAUGGGAGCCCUAGCUGAGGAGAAGUGCCCAUUUGCAAAGCUGCCUCUUUUUCCUUUGGCAGUUUUUUAAAUUUUUAUUAGCAGAACAACUGUUUCAUUAGCGCCCUGAUUAGCCUCAGCAUUUGCUUUCUGUCUAAGAUAUGUGAAGGGCAAGCUCUUGACACAAAAGGAACAAUCAAGGGGAAGCAGCUGGCUGCAGCGUGCAUAACUGAUGAUGAAAUAGUCUUACACUGUCCUGUUGAAUUUACUCACAUACAGAGCAUCUGGUCCUCACCAUGCAAGGGAUGGGAGACAGGGUGAAUUGUAUGAAUGAGUGAGUAAAGCAGUAGAAAGCUUUGUGAAGCACACCUGCUUCCAACUAUCUCCAGACUGAAUAGAUAAAUGAGACAGGUAGACAAGGGUAUGGCAUACAGAGGAAGAUCCUUCUCAUUAAAGGCCCCUCUGAGGUGUAUGGGAGGAGGAUGAAGUGGGAUGCAAAGGCUGGCCAUGCUCAAGGCUUGCUGAGGAGGAAUCCCCUAGCAGAAGGAUUUCUGCCCUUAUGGGAAAAGCAUUCAGCCUGCAGCGAUGGAAGCCUGGAGUCCAUACUGCCUGCAAGAUCCAAUUCUGAUGCUGUUGGCUCCAACUGUCUGCACUGCAACCAUGUAUAAUGCAAAAGCAAGACAUAGCAGAGCUCAUUUGUAGCUUGCACAUCCAAGUGCCAAGAGUCUAGCAGCAGCUUGGGGAGCUGCAGGACAAACUGUCCAUACCUUGGAGAAGAGCAGUACCAACUUGUGCUGGCGCGUCCCAGGAUGUUCAGGACAGGUUUCCAUGCCCAGCGUACAGACAGUAGAGAUGAACCAGGCUCCAUCCAUAGGUACUGGCCAUUCUAGCUUAUGUGAUUGACAAAUUUAAUGGCCAUGCUGCCACAGUGAGAAGCUGGUCAUAUGAGAAAGAGAAUAUAAAUAUAUUUAUUUAUAAUAUCUAUCAGGCUUACUGUAGAAGGAACAUCUCAAAAGAUCUGUUGUAAUGCUCGUGGAAUUGAGUGUGUGUGUGGGGGGGUGUUGUUCAGUAUGAAGGUUGUUUCCAAUUUUUGAGUAAUCAAACUAGAUGCUUUCAAUUUUACUUUUUUUGCAAAAGCAACUAAUGCUUAAUUUUCACAUUGUGUGGAUGCUUCAAUUUUGUUAGCUCUUUGAAUUUUUCUCAGUAAAAUCAACUUUGAACAAUUGUUCAUUUCUAAUUAGUUUAAUCUUUAUUUUCCAAAACUGAAGUUAGACAAAAAAAUUGCCCAGAGGCUAUAUUACUUAUUUAAUUUUUCAUAGUAAAAUAACAAUUUCUAAAAUGAUUUUGCUUUUUUCUUCUAUAGGAUGAAAGCCAGGUUCUCCAUCCAACCCUAUCUGUGGCAUCUUGGCGUCAGAGCUAAGCUUGAUCCUGUUCAGUACCUCUUGCUUUCAUUACCUAUCCAAUCUUGUUUUCAACACAAAAACUGACUUUUCCGGUGUGUGAUUAAUGUCCUUAGAUAGGUACUGCUAUCAACUGGCAUGUAUGGGCUAGAGGUAUUAAAUGAAUUAUGCAGACUGCUGGAUGAAGUUGGCAUUUGAAUAGAAUUCCCCUUAUAAAAAUUGAUCUCUCGUUUUCUUCUCUAAUCAGUCAUUCUUCAUCUACUUAUUUAUUUUUAACUUUGAUCUUCUUUUUCUAAUUAACUCUUUCAUCCUACUCUGAGAGCUUUCAUAGCUUGACUAGGAGUAGACCUAGUAAGAAGACUUCUCUAAUUUUAUCAUUUAUAAUAAUUCCCAAACUGAACUCUAUUAGGAAUAUGAUAAAAUGAGGCCUUUGUUUCAAUUAAUACUCUUAAGGAAUGGUACAUUUUUUAAACUUUUCAUUUUAUUCUUUUUUUUUUUUUAAGAAAUCAUAAAUGCAGAAAGGUACUGUACUAGGAAAUUAUCAUUAUGACUGUUUCCACAGCCCUCAGCUUUUGAGCUAUGCAAAAUAAGCUUUACAAAUAUUCAUUACAAGGGAGACUUUGUCCCAAAGAGCUUGCAGCCUUAGAAGAGCAGAGGAAUGGGAGGUGAUGUGAUUUUUGCUCACAGUUCAACUAGCCAUUUGUCAGAGGCCAACUAGAAGCAGGGGUUUUUUAGCUGCUAGUGCCAGGGCCCCAAAGCCAAGUAACCUGUGCCCUGGGAGUAGAUGCUGUCAUGCCGGAGCACUAACACUUCUCACCCAUUUUGCUUUGGUGUAAAUGGCCCAAGAAUUGCAGACUUAGUUUAAUAGUGAAGCGAUUUGCAAUAAAGAAGUAUUUAAUAGCAUUUACUUAAUUUUAGUGAAAACCUUGAUCUUUCAGUGGCUGCUGUGUUCUCAAUGCCAAGGAGUUGCUGGGAAUUUUUUCUGUCAAGCGGUGGUGUAUGUAUGCCAGGUAUGGUUUGUUUGAAGGCAGUCCAAAGCAAAUUAAAUUACAUAUGUCUGUGCUCAUAUUUAAAACUAAUGUGAAUACUGUGCUUGCAAUGUAAUUACAUUUUAAUUACAAGAUAAUUGCCUAAUUACACUUUUCUGCAUUUGUAGUAUGCUGUUCAUAAUAUAACCAAAUGUUUCCCUGCAUGACUAAUAGUAAUUGCAGAGUAAAUAUACUUGGCUAUUAGUAAUAUAUUUCUUAGUUUGUCAGAAGAGUAAUAUUCCCAACCUUGUGGUUACCUUCACAUGGAUCGCUUUUUAUCACAGGAUGAAAAGCAAAAAUUUGCAAUAAAACAAGUCUGUAGUUACAGAAUUCUUACUGGAAAGUGUGAUCUUGUAUCUAUUAAUACCCGUAGUUAAUCAUUACCUUCAGCUAAUAUAUACUCAGGCAUAUCUCUAGUGACUGUUUUGGGGUGUGGGUGUAAGGUAAUAAGCUCUUUUCCACUAAGUGAUAACCACCAUGAGGUCCUGUCCUAAACUGGCUCUUAGCACCAGCAGAUUAUGAAAUGUUAAAUAAACGCAUAUAACGAGAGCAGAACUAGACCCCAGGGUUUAAAAUGAGACAUGCUUGUAGCAAAUGAAUAAGUAUGUUUUGUUUAAAGCAGAUUAAAAUAAAUCUUAUAGCCUUCUCUGCGUAAAGUUGUAUUCAGCUGUAGGUGGGGUUUGCACUGCAAGGCCCGUGGACAUACAGAAAUAACAUUGUGCUCUUAAUGCUGUGCUGCCUUCUCUACUGGUGACUGUAGAGGUUUUUUUAUUUUGCCUGAGUCUGUUGUUCUUCCACCUGCUGCAUUUUUGCAGGCACAGAAAUAGGUGAGCACCUGCCCCAUCAUUUCCUCUCUCUGUGCCUUAGUUCCUUGCCUCUCAUGAGAGGGAAUGCUAACAUUGUACCAACUUUUUUAAAAAAAGAUAAACUUGUAGCUGUUUGUGAGGAUCUUAUAUAUUAUGGUAAUGACGGUUGUAGUACUUGGAGUAGGAUGGAAGAUGAGACACUUCUGUAGGGAAGCACCUUGCAUCACGGGGGAACUCUGAUUAGAAGUUUGGGGUGAGCAAAUGCAUUUCAGCAUAAUGGCAUUCUGACCCUGCUAACAUUAGUGAUGUAUGUUAUUUAAUUCCCUACACAAGAUAAUUAGAAAUAAUUAAAGAGGGCAGGCUUCUCAAGUAAGUCAAGAUCCUCUUUUCGAAGGGAGAAUCUAGCUGAGCAAUCACUGGUUUUCAGUGCUGUUAGAAACGAAGUAGAAAUGUUGUGCUGCAAACUGUACACUUCUAUUUUUUAACUUAAACUCAGCAGAACAAAAGCUCAGGGCAGAAGUGAACCAGAUUGGAUCAGAUUUGACUGUACAGCACCAGUGAGCUCUAGGUCCCUUUAUUCAUGGUUGAAGACCAUAUUUUGAAAAAUAAUCUCUGUCUUGGGGCUGGAGGCACACGCACCAACGCUCCCCUGCAUGGGUUUUUCCCAGCCACCAGUUGACCUUGCCCCACAGACCCACUGCCUCUAUUACUGGGACAUCUUUAUCAAGUUUGUGUCCUUGUCAUAGAGGCAUGCUUCUUCUCUUCCUUGCUACUUUCUGUGUAUCAUGUACAAAUUAUAGCGCUUCAGCAAGCUCUGAUACAGAAGUCAGGGCAUCUGUGUGCCUUUGAGCUGAUGGGAAUGGGUAAGGUUAUUUUGCAUACUUAUGGAAGGAAGGGAAAAAGAACAGCAACUCAUUAAUGAAAUAAUUCUUCUGGUCUGUUGUAACCUUUAAAUUCAGGAUUUUCAAACAUGCCAGACAGUUUAGGUGGGUUGAGUUUUAGCAGCCUAAUUUAGAGAGGCUAUGUCCUUAUUCUGUACUUUGAAACCAGACUCCUUUGUGAUACCUUCAUCUGGAGGGCAAAAAAGGAACCAGCUGGAAUCCAAGUCUGUGAUGAACCACCGGUCCAUUUAUUAUGGUUACAUUCAAACAAUGACACACACAAUGCCAUUUGGAGAGGCAGGAUACUUUUAGUUUUCAGGAAAACAGCAGUGUUUUAUUUUUGUUUGCCUGGGAAUAAUUCUGCCAGCUUUGGACUUAUGUUUCCAUGCCUGCCUUUGCAGUGCUUGAUGAUAGUCAGAUGCCAGUAUCUGUCAGGAAGCCACUUGUUAUUUGAAAGUCACACAGAUAAUUUCCAAAAGGUACUGUCAUUUGCAUCAUGUAAAUGUGAUUAAAUAUACUGUAGUUAGGGUACAGAAUCCCUGAGCUUUUAAUCUCAGUAAACCUGAAAAGUUAAAAUAUCUCACACUUUCAGAGCUUUAGUCUAUCCAGAAGAAACCAUCUGCUUUCCACCAAAAAUCACUCUUUUUCCUUUUUCUCUGUAAAUUAAUCCUACAGUGAUUAAUUUCAGUCCAGUUAAAAAGAACAUGUAGGCAGCUGUACAAGCUUGAAUAGAUGGGGGCAUGAUAGUGGAGCUCUUCAUAGGGGAACCGGAUUUGAGGCCAGUGUUUUAGGCUAGGAGGCUGGUAGCGAUACUCCAAACUUUGGUAUCCCUGGCAAGUUGUGUAGUAGAUAAUAGUACCAUGCUGGUUGUCUAUGAAGCACCUUGCAGUGGAGGAACUGAAUGCUUUUCCUGUAAAUACUAUUACAUAUCCCUGUAAAGAUGGUAUGGGUUGAAGAUGAGCUUAAGCAUUUAUGUUCAUAGCAAGAUCUUGAAAUACAGUGUCAUCUCGUGGGGAAGGCAAAGGGCUCCCCUGCACCCCAGGAGACAGGCACUGCCCUUCUGCUUUUCCACCACCCUGCAGCAAAUCGCUUUGCGUCCUCCUCCAUGUUUAUUCUCAGUGAAACUGUCUAAAACAUGAACCUUCAGGGGCAUUUGGGAGCCAACGGGCGCUGGAGCUUUUUAAUUCUCAUACAAAACUUGAAAAGUCUACAGGGAAGGAACAGGCUUUUUAGGCACAAAAAUCAGAAGAAUCAUCCUGCGCCGCAGCCUCCAGGCUCAUGCUUCUUCUGCGCACAUGCUGGGCCUCCAGCUUCGCCUCACCAGUGGGAAACACUGGACACAGAGUUUGCCAUGGAAAUUUGGCUGUGUUUGUGCAUUCUUCUGCUUGUACAGUACUUCAAAAGCUUUUUCUGCGCUGCUGAGGAAGAGCUGUAAGCCAGUGUCGAUAAUUUAAUGAGCAGCACUUGAAGAACAUUUAUUGUUAUGACUCAUAUUCCUGCGAAUAGCCCAGUGGUUGAUGCUGGGCCAGCUAGGAGGCUGGCUCAGUGCCCAGCAUGGCUGCGUGCAGGCACCUGAGCAGAGAUGUUGCUGGCCGGAUUUUGAUUGCUCCCAAGUGGAACUGGUGGAGACUGAGUCUAUCUGCAAAUGUGGCCUCCAACAGGAAGUGAGAGCAAUUUGGAAAGUCUUUUAACAUACAUAAAGGAAGGAGAAAAUGCCACUCCACUCUCAGUUUGAUCUUCACACAUCUUCAGAGGACCUGACUGUGGUGUGGCCAAAGCUGAAAACUACCCAAGAAACACAAUUCUGAGACAACAGGAGCAGAAGAGCACUUCAGAGUGAUGAGUCUCGCUCUACAAAUUAAGACUGAAAGCUUUUAUGAUUGAAUGGUAGCAUUGCAACCUGGGCAUUUGCUGCUUUUCUGUGAUUGGAAUGGGGCUUUUUUAUUAAGGCUGUUUAUAUAUAUCCAUAGCUUGUCAUUAGUAGUUGUAUGCUGAUUUGUAGCUGGACUAAAUGAUUCCUUUGAGUGUUGCUUCAGCUCAUUUUUUUCCAGCUCCCC